rnacentral:rRNA from 1 species
AUUGAACGCUGGCGGCAUGCCUUACACAUGCAAGUCGAACGGCAGCACGGGGGCGACCCUGGUGGCGAGUGGCGAACGGGUGAGUAAUAUAUCGGAACGUGCCCUGGAGUGGGGGAUAACGUAGCGAAAGUUACGCUAAUACCGCAUACGAUCUACGGAUGAAAGUGGGGGAUCGCAAGACCUCAUGCUCCUGGAGCGGCCGAUAUCUGAUUAGCUAGUUGGUGGGGUAAAAGCCUACCAAGGCGACGAUCAGUAGCUGGUUUGAGAGAACGACCAGCCACACUGGGACUGAGACACGGCCCAGACUCCUACGGGAGGCAGCAGUGGGGAAUUUUGGACAAUGGGGGCAACCCUGAUCCAGCAAUGCCGCGUGUGUGAAGAAGGCCUUCGGGUUGUAAAGCACUUUUGUCAGGAACGAAACGGACUGGGCUAAUACCUCGGUCUAAUGACGGUACCUGAAGAAUAAGCACCGGCUAACUACGUGCCAGCAGCCGCGGUAA